GACGAACGCUGGCGGCGUGCUUAACACAUGCAAGUCGAACGGAAAGGCCCUGCUUUUGUGGGGUGCUCGAGUGGCGAACGGGUGAGUAACACGUGAGUAACCUGCCCUUGACUUUGGGAUAACUUCAGGAAACUGGGGCUAAUACCGGAUAGGAGCUCCUGCUGCAUGGUGGGGGUUGGAAAGUUUCGGCGGUUGGGGAUGGACUCGCGGCUUAUCAGCUUGUUGGUGGGGUAGUGGCUUACCAAGGCUUUGACGGGUAGCCGGCCUGAGAGGGUGACCGGCCACAUUGGGACUGAGAUACGACCCAGACUCCUACGGGAGGCAGCAGUGGGGAAUAUUGCACAAUGGGCGGAAGCCUGAUGCAGCAACGCCGCGUGCGGGAUGACGGCCUUCGGGUCGUAAACCGCUUUCGCCUGUGACGAAGCGUGAGUGACGGUAAUGGGUAAAGAAGCACCGGCUAACUACGUG
rnacentral:rRNA from 1 species